GAAAAUCAAAAUGGCUAAACUCGUCCAACAGUGAGGUAUUCGCUGCUCCAAAAUUUUGCAUCCGGAAAAUUUAACCAACAUGCAACUUGAACGUAUCCGACUACUGCACCAAAAGUCAAGUACCGAGCGGGCGAGAGUGGAUGGCGGCGAUACAACUUACUGGUUCAUCAUUUGGGAAACGGAAAUUGCCCUGGAAUUCGCAUUAUACAAGCCCAUUCGGCAUGAUCAAUAUGCGUUGGUAUAAUGAUACCAUCGCCACAGUAGUGCGACGGGUUAUCCGUAGUUGCAGCAGGUACCGACUGAACAGCAGACCAGUAAUAAGAAGAUGCGUCGGAAUAUUAUUUAUUGAUCAGCUGGAAAGUCAUACGACUGGUACGACGGCAACGAGGAUGCUUCUGCAGCACCAAACUAUUUGCAAACACGAAACCAAAUCUCUAUAGCCAGGCAUGGCAUCAGACACGAGUCUUCCAAUAUAAACAUCGUCAUAUGUGCGCCAUCCCAAUUGCUUCGUCAAGGAUAUUGUCAAAAGUCUCCAGUUGAUGAAUAAGUUGGUGGCAUCUAGAUCUCUGCCAAGCAAGCCAAAGCAGCGAAUCUCUAAUAAACCUAAGCAGCAGUAUACCGUAAAUCUGCUGUAUAGACCGUCGAGCGGAAGUUUUCAACCGGUGGCAGCGGGAUUAAAUCAAAUCAGCGAGCAAACGCACAGUGGAAAGACUUUCAUGAAUAAUAGCAUAAAUAGUGCACUGAUCAUGACUCUGCAGCGCUACGAUCCAGCAACCCAGUAACUUUUUACGCACCGUAGUAUGGGUGCAUCUGUUCUGGCUCAGGAUAUUAGGGCACAAGACAAAAACACUCCGAUUUUUUGCUCACAAAGAACAUGAAACGACGAUCAAGUUUUUCUUUCGCACAAUAAAGGUGAGAUUUCUCCAACUCCAGCAAACAAGUUUGGUACACUCUGGCAGAGCUGCACGACCGGCGUUGGCGUUGGCGUUGGCUAUCAACCCGAAGAACUCGGACAACACUUUGGGGCGAUGCUGUUCUUUCUAAGGAACUCGAUACAAGCAAGACAACUUUCAUCACCAUCGAAAUCAACACAACUGAUGCUACCGACACAGCUUCGAAAACUGACGUAUUAUAUGUUCGACGUUUUGCAAAUGAUUUUCUGAAUACUCCAAUAGUACUUCAUAAGGAGCACGCUAUUGUGAAUUUCAAUUGUAACCCCAAAUUUAUGAAAACAGUUUGUAAUGUAGUAUAUAAUAAUUUACAAUUUUUAUGGCAAUAAAUCCAAACUAAAUUGAAAAAAAA